AGGGCACCACCAGGAGUGGAGCCUGCGGCUUAAUUUGACUCAACACGGGAAAACUCACCCGGCCCGGACACCGUAAGGAUUGACAGACUGAGAGCUCUUUCUCAAUUCGGUGGGUGGUGGUGCAUGGCCGUUCUUAGUUGGUGGAGCGAUUUGUCUGGUUAAUUCCGAUAACGAACGAGACUCUGGCCUAUUAAAUAGACGGUAUAUUUAAAAGUAUAUCGCACUUCUUAGAGGGACAAGCGGCGUCUAGCCGCAUGAAAUAGAGCAAUAACAGGUCUGUGAUGCCCUUAGAUGUCCGGGGCUGCACGCGCGCUACACUGAAAGAAUCAGUGGGCGUUAUUCCUAGUCCGGAAGGACUGGGUAACCCAAGUAAAUUCUUUCGUGCUUGGGAUAGGGAAUUGCAAUUAUUUCCCUUAAGCGAGGAAUUCCCAGUAAAUGCGGGUCAUAAGCUCGCGUUGAUUACGUCCCUGCCCUUUGUACACACCGCCCGUCGCUACUACCGAUUGGAUGACUUAGUGA
rnacentral:rRNA from 1 species